UAAAGGUUUGGUCCUGGCUUUUUUAUUAAUUGUUAGUAAAAUUAUACAUGCAAGUAUCGCCUUCCCAGUGAGAAUGCCCUUUUAUUCAACAAGAAUUAAAGGAGCAGGUAUCAAGCACACCUGUGGUAGCUCACAACGCCUUGCUCAGCCACGCCCCCACGGGACACAGCAGUAAUUAAAAUUAAGCAAUAAACGAAAGUUUGACUAAGUUAUACUAACCAACUCAAGGGUUGGUAAAUCUCGUGCCAGCCACCGCGGUCAUACGAUUAACCCUAAUUAAUAAAUCCCGGCGUAAAGAGUGUAAAAGCUAAUACUAAAAUAAGGUUAAAAUAUGUCCAAGUCGUAAAAAACAACAGACAAAAGCAAACCCACAAACGAAAGUAACCUUAAUAAAUCUGAACACACCAAAGCUAAGACCCAAACUGGGAUUAGAUACCCCACUAUGCUUAGCCGUAAACAUAAACAUUUAACAACAAAAAUCUUCGCCAGAGAACUACUAGCAACAGCUUAAAACUCAAAGGACUUGGCGGUGCUUUAAACCCAUCUAGAGGAGCCUGUUCUAUAAUCGAUAAACCCCGAUAAACCUCACCACUUCUUGCUAAUUCAGUCUAUAUACCGCCAUCUUCAGCAAACCCUAGCAAGGAUGAAAAGUAAGCACAAUCACCCCAUAAAAACGUUAGGUCAAGGUGUAACUAAUGAAGUGGAAAGAAAUGGGCUACAUUUUCUUACCAAAAGAAAAUAAUAAACAGUAAUCUUUAUGAAACUUAAAGAUUUAAGGAGGAUUUAGUAGUAAAUUAAGAAUAGAGAGCUUAAUUGAAUUAGGCCAUAAAGCACGCACACACCGCCCGUCACC
rnacentral:ncRNA from 1 species